UACGUAGGUGGCGAGCGUUAUCCGGAAUUACUGGGAGUAAAGGGCGGGCAGGCGGCAGUGUAAGUCAGAUGUGAAAUCUCCCGGCUCAACCGGGAACGUGCAUCUGAUACUGCAGUGCUUGAGUGAUAGAGGGGGAGGUGGAAUUCCUAGUGUAGCGGUGAAAUGCGUAGAUAUUAGGAGGAACACCGGUGGCGAAAGCAGCUCACUGGUCUGUAACUGACGCUGAGGUUCGAAAGCGUGGGGAGCGAACAGG
rnacentral:rRNA from 1 species